UAUUCAGAGAGUCACCUUCACAGCAUCCCUCUCUCAACACCUUCAGCAGCAGGUUUUGACUCAACAGGAGAGGGGAGGCAUUGAGCUGGACACCCUCAACUCACAGGCUCAAUCAGCCGGAGAUGGUGAGGAGGAGUUAGUGGUAGGCAGGCAGGAGAAGCUGUUCAGUCAGGAUUCCCAGAGUAUGGUGAUGCAGGUAAAGUCCAACCCUACCUUCCUGGCACAUAGGAUGGCCAAUGUCAGACACAGACGACAUGACAGACACCCAGUGUAGGUCCCUGUUACUCACCAAAGUGAAUUAUUAUUAAAGUGAAUGUAAUUGAAGCAACAUUGAUGUGUGAUGUGCUGCUUUGAAGACAAACAGUGUACCG